rnacentral:tRNA from 1 species
UAUAGCUCAGUGGUAGAGUGUAUGCUUAGCAUGCACGAGGUCCUGGGUUUGAUUCCCAGUA